AUUGAACGCUGGCGGCAGGCUUAACACAUGCAAGUCGAACGAUGAAGAUAUAGCUUGCUAUAUCGGAUUAGUGGCGGACGGGUGAGUAACACUUAGGAAUCUACCUUUUAGCGGGGGAUAGCUCGGGGAAACUCGAAUUAAUACCGCAUAAUUUCUACGGAAUAAAGAGGGCUUUUAGCUCUCACUAGAAGAUGAGCCUAAGUAAGAUUAGCUAGUUGGUGGGGUAAAAGCCUACCAAGGCGACGAUCUUUAGCUGGUCUGAGAGGAUGAUCAGCCACACUGGGACUGAGACACGGCCCAGACUCCUAUGGGAGGCAGCAGUGGGGAAUAUUGGACAAUGGGGGCAACCCUGAUCCAGCCAUGCCGCGUGUGUGAAGAAGGCCUUUUGGUUGUAAAGCACUUUAAGCAGUGAAGAAGACCUAUUGGUUAACACCCAAUAGCGAUGACAUUAACUGCAGAAUAAGCACCGGCUAACUCUGUGCCAGCAGCCGCGGUAAUACAGAGGGUGCAAGCGUUAAUCGGAAUUACUGGGCGUAAAGCGAGCGUAGGUGGUUAAAUAAGUCAGAUGUGAAAGCCCUGGGCUCAACCUAGGAACGGCAUCUGAAACUAUUUAACUAGAGUAGGUGAGAGGGAAGUAGAAUUUCAGGUGUAGCGGUGAAAUGCGUAGAGAUCUGAAGGAAUACCGAUGGCGAAGGCAGCUUCCUGGCAUCAUACUGACACUGAGGCUCGAAAGCGUGGGUAGCAAACAGG
rnacentral:rRNA from 1 species